AACGAACGCUGGCGGCAGGCUUAACACAUGCAAGUCGAACGCAUCGCAAGAUGAGUGGCAGACGGGUGAGUGGCGCGUGGGAACAUACCCUUUUCUACGGAAUAGCUCUGGGAAACUGGAAUUAAUACCGUAUACGCCCUACGGGGGAAAGAUUUAUCGGGGAAGGAUUGGCCCGCGUUGGAUUAGCUAGUUGGUGGGGUAAAGGCCUACCAAGGCGACGAUCCAUAGCUGGUCUGAGAGGAUGAUCAGCCACAUUGGGACUGAGACACGGCCCAAACUCCUACGGGAGGCAGCAGUGGGGAAUAUUGGACAAUGGGCGCAAGCCUGAUCCAGCCAUGCCGCGUGAGUGAUGAAGGCCUUAGGGUUGUAAAGCUCUUUCACCGAUAAAGAUAAUGACGGUAGUCGGAGAAGAAGCCCCGGCUAACUUCGUGCCAGCCGCCGCCGUAA
rnacentral:rRNA from 1 species